GGCCGGGAGGAGGAGGAGGAGGAGGAGGAGGAGGAGGAGGUGGCAGCGAUGCUGGUGGCGCUGGUGGCGCUGGUGGCGGUGGCGGCGGGGGGGGACACGGGGGUCCCGCCGACCCCCCCCCCGUGCCCGUUGGGGUUCGGGCCGGUGGCCGCGGGCGGCUGCGGGGACAGGGACGAAUGUCGCACGGCCGCCGUGUGCCACCACAUGUGCCUCAACCACCACGGCGGCUUCGCGUGUCACUGUCACCGCGGCUUCGUCCUGCAGCCCGACGGUGUCACCUGCCGCCGCCGCCGCCACCGGGGGCACCCCGGGACCCCCCCCCAGCGCCCCGGGGGACAGCGGGGACACCCCGGGACCCCCCCCCAGCGCCCCGGGACCCCCCCCCCAGCGCCCCGGGGGACAGCGGGGACAGCCCGGGACCCCUCCCCAGCGCCCCGGGACCCCCCCCCAGCGCCCCGGGACCCCUCCCCAGGCGGCACACCCGGAGCUGCCCGGGGGGACCCGGCUCGGUUGGAGCUCCCGGUGGGACCGGCGGCCGGACGGGACCGGCGGAGGUGAAGCCUCGGCCCGGGAUUCGGUACCGGAGCGGCACCGGAGCGGCUCGCGGGACGAUUUGGACCGGGAUCCCCGCCCGGAUUCGGAUCCAGGCUCGGUUUGGGAUCCUCAGAGGGAUUUGGGUCCGGGAAGGCACCGGGAGCAGCGGCCGGGGCGGCACCGGGAUUUGGACCGGGAUCCCCGCCAGGAUGUGAACCGGGACUGGGACCGGGAUCUGAACCGGGAUUCGGACCGGGAUUUGAACCGGGAUUGGGACCGGGGUUCGGACCGGGAUCCCCACCAAGAUCUGAACCUGGACUGGAACCGGGAUUUGGACCGCGAUCCCCGCCAGGAUCUGAACCGGGAUUCGGACCGGGACUGGGACCGGGAUUGGGACCGGGAUCCCCACCAGGAUCUGAACCGGGACUGGGACCGGGAUUCGGACCGGGAUUUGAACCGGGAUUGGGACCGGGAUUCGGACCGGGAUUCCCAGGAGGAUUCGCCCCCGGGAUGGCACCGGGGCUUGCACCGGGAUGUGCCUGAGGAUUCCCACCGGGACGUGUCCCCGGAGCGGCCCCGGGGAUCGCCCGGGGAUUGGAGCCGGGAUCCCCACCGGGAUUCCCGUCAGGAUUUCCGUGAGGACUCCCAGCCCGCCGGGCAGCGGGAUUGGCACCGGGAUUUGCACCGGGAUUCGCACCGGGACCGGGAUCCGGGCUCGGCCCGACCCCGGGAGCCGCACGGGGAUUCCCGGGAGGGUUUGCACCGGGAUUGGAACGGGAAUUUGCACCGGGACUCGCACAGGGAGCGGGGGCUGGGACCGCCCCGGCUCCGGGGGUGGCACCGGGACUCCCCCGAGGGGUCCCACCGGGAUUUUCACCGGGAUUUUCCCCCUUCCCCCGCGCCCCCCUAUAGGGACGAGGACCCCGAUCCUUAUGGGGACCCCUAUGGGGACCCCGACACCUACGGGGACCCCUAUGGGGGUCCAGCCCCCCCCUAUAGGGCCGAGGACCCCGGGGAGGGGCCGUGGGACCCCGAAACGGAGCCCUGGGACCCCGACAUUUAUGGGGACCCCUACGGGGACCCCUACGAGGAUGAGGACCCCGAAGAGGAGCCCUGGGACCCCUCCCCACCCCCCUCGGACCCCUACAGGGACCCCGAGCCCGGGAGCCUCCGGAGGGGCCGGGACCCCCAAACCCGGCCCUGGGACCCCCAAACCCGGCCCUGGGACCCCCAGAGUGAGCCCGGGGACCCCCAAAACCGGCCCUGGGACCCCUAUGGGGACCCCUAUGGGGAUGGGGACCCCCAAACCCGGCCCUGGGACCCCUAUGGGGAUGGCAACCCCCAGAGUGAUCCCGGGGACCCCCAAACCCGGCCCUGGGACCCCUAUGGGGACCCCUACAGUGAUGAGGACCCCCAAGAUGACCCCAUAGGAGACCCCCAUAGGAUCCCCGACCCCAAGGCCGAACUCUGGGACCCCCCGAGGGACCCCCAUGGACUCAGCCCCUCCCCCAGCCCCCAUGGCAACCCCCAAACCUCCUCCUUCACCCCCCUGGCUUCCCCCCCAGUUGCCCCUCCGGAAUCCCAGUUGCCCCCAGUUACCCCAGUAACUGCCCCCUCCAACCCCAGAGCCCCCCAGUUUGUCCCAGUUACCCUCCCAGUUACCCCUCCCAGAACCCAGGACCUCCCAGUUGCCCCCCAGUUUGUCCCAGUUACUCCUCCCAGAACCCAGGACCUCCCAGUUGCCCCCCAGUUUGUCCCAGUUACCCCUCCCAGAACCCAGGACCUCCCAGUUGCCCCCCCAGUUGUCCCAGUUACCCCCCCCAAAGCCAAGGACACCCCAGUUUCCCUCCCAGUUCUCCCAGUUACUCCCCCAGUUACCCUCCCCAGAGUCAAGGACCCCCCAACAACCCCCCCAACUGCCCCCCCUAAAUCCCAGUUACCCCCAGUUACCUCCCCUAAAUCCCAGUUACCCCCAGUUACCCCUCCAGUUACCCCCCCACAGGCCAAGGACCCCCCAGUUAUCCCAGUUACCCCCCCAGCUCCCCCCCCCCAGAGUCGGGGACCCCCCAGUUGCCCCAGUGACGACCCCAGUAGCCCCCCCAGUUGCCCCCCCGGUUGCCCCAGUUGCCCCCAGGGCCCCUCCCAGUACCGGGUCGCUGCGGGUCGGGCUGGGCUUGGCGCUGCCGGUGGCACUGGGAGGGGCACUGGUGAUACUGGGAGCACUGGGAGGACUGGGAAGACCCCCCCGACCGACCCCCCCGAGCCCCCAGGGCUGAGGGUGCGGGGGGGGGGGGGCAAACUGGGAGGGACACCCCCAAACUGGGAAACGAACCCCCAAACUGGGAAAGGAACCCCCAAACUGGGAAAGGAACCCCCAAACUGGGAAAGGAACCCCCAAACUGGGAUUUUUAACCCCAAACUGGGAAUUUUAACCCCAAACUGGGAUUGUUCACCCCGAACUGGGAAUUUUAACACCAAACUGGGAAUUGUCAAUCCCAAACUGGGAUUUUUAACCCCGAACUGGGAAUUUUAACCCCAAACUGGGAUUUCUAACCCCAAACUGGAAAUUUUAACCCCAAACCGGGAUUGUUCGCCCCAAACUGGGAUCGUUCACCCCAAACUGGGAAUUUUAACCCCAAACUGGGAUCACUCACCCCGAACUGGGAAUUUUAACCCCAAACUGGGACCGCCCCCCCUCCCCCAGUCCCACCCUUCCCCCCGGGUGGGGGAGGGGCGGGGGGGGGUCUGAGGGCAAUAAAGGGUCGGUGCUGCCCCUCCCCCACCCCGCGCUGAGUCCCGCUGUUUUUUUGGGGGGGGGAGGUGCGGGCAGGGCCGGCUCCCCUCCCCCUGCCCGUGCCCCUCCCCCUCCCGCUCCAGCUGUUGAGCGGAUCCAGCUGUGGGUGGGGGAGGGCGCGGCCCCUGAGUCACCCUCGGGGUCCCCCGGGGGGGGGGAGGGGCGGGGAACGCCCGGGAAUGGGGGUGCCCCGGGGGGGGGAGGGGCGUGACGUCAUCGCUGAGAGGGGGAGGGGGAUACUGGGAGCGUCCCAGUUCGGACCAGUAGAGCCCGGGCGGGACCAGUUCGGACCAGUGCCCCCAUCCCAGUUCCCACCAGUUCCCCCGUCCCAGUUCCCACCAGUGACCCCAUCCCAGUCCCACCAGUACAAACUGGGCGGGACCAGUUCGGACCAGUGCCCCCGUCCCAGUGCCACCACUGGUGGGGGCGGGGCGAAUGCAAAUCGCAGCGCGCAUUCACCAAUCAGGUCGCGCGCAGGCGGCGAAGGGGCGGGGCGUCCGCGUGGGCGGAGAGGAGGGCGGAGCGAUGCAAAUUAGUCACGGCACGCCGCCGAGUGCAUAAUGGGAGCGAAAUUUGGGGAGAUUUUCGGGAUUUUUGGGUUCGGUGUGUGCAAAGCGCGGGAGGGA
rnacentral:lncRNA from 1 species